UUGAGGAAGUAAAAGUCGUAACAAGGUUUCCGUCGGAAUAUCCUGCUGGUGAAGCCUUGGAGAUGCACGACUAUAAAGAAUGCUAAACACGGUCCUUAACUUGGUUAGGGGCGACGUCACACAAAUGCCUGGGAUCCUUUAUAACCAGAAGAGUACCAGCAGCCAAACUCAUGUUUGGUCCACAGAUUAGAUGGUGACGGUCAAGGAGCCGGAAGAUUUGGUUGAAAUUCGAUUGAGGUUGACUCUGAUCGAGUUGUCAUAUGCCAAUCUUGUUGCCUGAUUAAGAUAUAAUCGGUUUACUGUCCUUCCAACAGUGAGAAAAAUGUUCCGUAGGUGAACCUGCGGAAGGAUCAUUA
rnacentral:rRNA from 1 species